UGUGUUGAGGGACACCAAUGUGUAAUGU
rnacentral:piRNA from 1 species